rnacentral:tRNA from 1 species
CAUUAAAUAGCUUAAAUUAGAAAGCAAAGGCUUUUUAAGCUUUGGAUACGUUAGUUUUAGUGA